rnacentral:rRNA from 1 species
AACCAGACUCCUACGGGAGGCAGCAGUGAGGAAUAUUGGUCAAUGGCCGGGAGGCUGAACCAGCCAAGUCGCGUGAGGGAAGACGGCCCUACGGGUUGUAAACCUCUUUUGUCAGGGAGCAAGGUGCAGGUCGGGACCUGCUGUGAGAGUACCUGAAGAAAAAGCAUCGGCUAACUCCGUGCCAGCAGCCGCGGUAAUACGGAGGAUGCGAGCGUUAUCCGGAUUUAUUGGGUUUAAAGGGUGCGCAGGCGGAGGCACAAGUCAGCGGUCAAAUGUCGGGGCUCAACCCCGGCCUGCCGUUGAAACUGCGUUUCUUGAGUGGGCGAGAAGUACGCGGAAUGCGUGGUGUAGCGGUGAAAUGCAUAGAUAUCACGCAGAACUCCGAUUGCGAAGGCAGCGUACCGGCGCCCAACUGACGCUCAUGCACGAAAGCGUGGGUAUCGAACAGGAUUAGAUACCCGGGUAU